GAUGAACGCUGGCGGCGUGCCUAAUACAUGCAAGUCGAGCGAACGGAUGAGAAGCUUGCUUCUCUGAUGUUAGCGGCGGACGGGUGAGUAACACGUGGAUAACCUACCUAUAAGACUGGGAUAACUUCGGGAAACCGGAGCUAAUACCGGAUAAUAUUUUGAACCGCAUGGUACAAAAGUGAAAGACGGUCUUGCUGUCACUUAUAGAUGGAUCCGCGCUGCAUUAGCUAGUUGGUAAGGUAACGGCUUACCAAGGCAACGAUGCAUAGCCGACCUGAGAGGGUGAUCGGCCACACUGGAACUGAGACACGGUCCAGACUCCUACGGGAGGCAGCAGUAGGGAAUCUUCCGCAAUGGGCGAAAGCCUGACGGAGCAACGCCGCGUGAGUGAUGAAGGUCUUCGGAUCGUAAAACUCUGUUAUUAGGGAAGAACAUAUGUGUAAGUAACUGUGCACAUCUUGACGGUACCUAAUCAGAAAGCCACGGCUAACUACGUG
rnacentral:rRNA from 1 species